rnacentral:rRNA from 1 species
GGAACUGCAUUCGAAACUGGCAGGCUAGAGUCUUGUAGAGGGGGGUAGAAUUCCAGGUGUAGCGGUGAAAUGCGUAGAGAUCUGGAGGAAUACCGGUGGCGAAGGCGGCCCCCUGGACAAAGACUGACGCUCAGGUGCGAAAGCGUGGGGAGCAAACAGGAUUAGAUACCCUGGUAGUCCACGCCGUAAACGAUGUCGAUUUGGAGGUUGUGCCCUUGAGGCGUGGCUUCCGGAGCUAACGCGUUAAAUCGACCGCCUGGGGAGUACGGCCGCAAGGUUAAAACUCAAAUGAAUUGACGGGGGCCCGCACAAGCGGUGGAGCAUGUGGUUUAAUUCGAUGCAACGCGAAGAACCUUACCUGGUCUUGACAUCCACAGAACUUUCCAGAGAUGGAUUGGUGCCUUCGGGAACUGUGAGACAGGUGCUGCAUGGCUGUCGUCAGCUCGUGUUGUGAAAUGUUGGGUUAAGUCCCGCAACGAGCGCAACCCUUAUCCUUUGUUGCCAUCGGUCCGGCCGGGAACUCAAAGGAGACUGCCAGUGAUAAACUGGAGGAAGGUGGGGAUGACGUCAAGUCAUCAUGGCCCUUACGACCAGGGCUACACACGUGCUACAAUGGCAUAUACAAAGAGAAGCGACCUCGCGAGAGCAAGCGGACCUCAUAAAGUAUGUCGUAGUCCGGAUUGGAGUCUGCAACUCGACUCCAUGAAGUCGGAAUCGCUAGUAAUCGUAGAUCAGAAUGCUACGGUGAAUACGUUCCCGGGCCUUGUACACACCGCCCGUCACACCAUGGGAGUGGGUUGCAAAAGAAGUAGGUAGCUUAACCUUCGGGAGGGCGCUUACCACUUUGUGAUUCAUGACUGGGGUGAAGUCGUAACAAGGUAACCGUAGGGGAACCUGCGGUUGGAUCACCUCCUUACCUUAAAGAA